rnacentral:rRNA from 1 species
UGGGGAAUAUUGCACAAUGGGCGAAAGCCUGAUGCAGCAACGCCGCGUGAGGGACGACGGCCUUCGGGUUGUAAACCUCUUUUAGCAAGGAAGAAGCGAAAGUGACGGUACUUGCAGAAAAAGCGCCGGCUAACUACGUGCCAGCAGCCGCGGUAAUACGUAGGGCGCAAGCGUUAUCCGGAAUUAUUGGGCGUAAAGAGCUCGUAGGCGGUUUGUCGCGUCUGCUGUGAAAACCCGAGGCUCAACCUCGGGCCUGCAGUGGGUACGGGCAGACUAGAGUGCGGUAGGGGAGAUUGGAACUCCCGGUGUAGCGGUGGAAUGCGCAGAUAUCAGGAAGAACACCGAUGGCGAAGGCAGAUCUCUGGGCCGUAACUGACGCUGAGGAGCGAAAGGGUGGGGAGCAAACAGGCUUAGAUACCCUGGUAGUCCACCCCGUAAACGUUGGGAACUAGUUGUGGGUCCAUUCCACGGAUUCCGUGACGCAGCUAACGCAUUAAGUUCCCCGCCUGGGGAGUACGGCCGCAAGGCUAAAACUCAAAUGAAUUGACGGGGUCAUAGCUGUUUCCU